rnacentral:lncRNA from 1 species
ACUUGCCUGAGAUCACACAGUCUCGUGUGUGGCAGAGCCUUGGAUUCCAAGCCAGGCUGUCUGAUCCCAGAUCUUCACAGCUGGCCUGCACCUCCACGGCACCCCGGACUUCCCCCUGGAGCACUGGCCAGUGAAACAAACAUGCCCUGGAGAAAUGCCUGGAUAGCAAAAGCAUUCCUACACAUUGAGGCCUGCCAGCGUGGGUGUCACCCAGGAGCCACUCGGAAAGGUUCAUCGGAAACCACCCCGGACCGACUGAGGCAGAAUCUCUGGGGGCGGGACCCAGGCCUCAGCAUAAAAACUCCAGGUGACGAAACAGCUCCCACCUAACAGAAAAAGAAAGAAAAGAGACUGAGAAACCACAGAAAGAAAGAAGUGCUGAUGACAAUGCCUGCUUGCUGAUGGUUCUGAUGAUCAUAGCAGCAUACAUUUUGUAUGCGUGAAGCCUGUGGCUAUAUAAACGUGUAGGGAAAUAUUUGUAAGGAAAUAAGCAAUUAAUAAAAUAAGCUAAAAUCACAGUUGCUGGACUAUGACUGAUUUUUCCCCUUUCUG